rnacentral:tRNA from 1 species
ACACCCGUGGUCUAAUAGAGAGGACACUCGCCUUCGAAGCGAGGGGAUGUAGGUUCGAAUCCUACCGGGUGUA